AGUGUCCAGGGAUGGGAAUCGAACCCACACUGUUCUGCUUACCGGGCAGAUGCCAUGUACAUAUUGCCAUGCCAUGGACAU